UUUAUUUAUGAAAAAUUGUGGGUGUUCGCAGCCGCCGUCGCUCUCCAGCGCCAGCGCCGCCUCUCGCUCGCCGAGCUCCAGCCGAAGGAGAAGGGGGUAAGUAAGGAGGUCCCUAGACCAUGGCUCCUACAGAGCAGACUGCCCGCAAAUCGACCGGUGGUAAAGCACCCAGGAAGCAACUGGCUACAAAAGCCGCUCGCAAGAGUGCGCCCUCUACUGGAGGGGUGAAGAAACCUCAUCGUUACAGGCCUGGUACUGUGGCACUCCGUGAAUUAGACGUUAUCAGAAGUCCACUGAACUUCUGAUUCGCAAACUUCCUUUCCAACGUCUGGUGUGAGAAAUUGCUCAGGACUUCAAAACAGAUCUGUGCUUCCAGAGCGCAGCUAUUGGUGCUUUGCAGGAGGCAAGUGAGGCCUAUCUGGUUGGCCUUUUUGAAGACACCAACCUGUGUGCUAUCCAUGCCAAACGUGUAACAAUUAUGCCAAAAGACAUCCAGCUAGCACGCCGCAUACGUGGAGAGCGUGCUCAAAUCCACUAUGAUGGGAAACAUUUCAUUCUCAAAAAAAAAAAAAAUUCUCUUCUUCCUGUUAUUGGUAGUUCUGAACGUUAGAUUUUUUUUUCCCCCCCAUGGGGUCAAAAGGUACCUAAGUAUAUGAUUGCGAGUGGAAAAAUAGGGGACAGAAAUCAGGUAUUGGCAGUUUUUCCAUUUACAUUUGUGUGUGAAUUUUUAAUAUAAAAGCGGGGAUGUAAAGCAUUAAUGCAAGUCAAAAUGUUUCAGUGAACAAGUUUCAGCAGUUCGACUUUAUAACAAUUAUAAAUAAACCUGUUAAAUUUUUCUGG